UGGACAGAUUAUUGUAUUCGACGGCGUGAAACAUGGGAUUACACUGUUUUUAAAACGGAAAGUGAAUAAUUUAACAUAAUAGACUCCU
rfam:Nicotiana sylvestris Nsyl_contig52458, whole genome shotgun sequence.